rnacentral:misc_RNA from 1 species
ACCAUGGGCGCGCUCACAAACAUGCAAAUGCGCACAGAAUUUGGAAUAAUAAAUAUGAUAAUAUCAAAAUGAAAUAAGAACCAAUAGUCAUCAAACAGCAUUCAAACAACUCCUAUGCACACGUGUUGACUGUUGACCCCUGACAGCCCCCUACCUGGAUCGAGACUAACCAUCUUAGCAUUGUCAUCAGAAAAUGAAUUUCAGGAGAUGAAAGCAUUACAAAAAACACACCUGAGG